GACUCCAGCUUUCUUGGGCCGCCUCUGAGCAAUUUGGUUUUCAACCUCUUUCUUGACAGGUUCUUCCUUCUCAGACAAAAUAAGCUCAAUAUGGCAGGGAGACGACAUAUAAGGAUUAAUACGCCCAUGAGCACGGUAUGUUCUGCGUCUCUGCUUCUGAGCUUGAUUAACCUGAAUGUGAGAUACAUAAAGAGCAUCGACAUCCAAGCCCUU
rnacentral:misc_RNA from 1 species